rnacentral:rRNA from 1 species
AGGUCACUGCUAUUGGAGUUCGAUUAAGCCAUGCGAGUCAAGAGUUCUUCGUGAACUCGGCGGACUGCUCAGUAACACGUGGGUAAUCUAGCCCUCGGGUCAGGGAUAACCCCGGGAAACUGGGAAUAAUACCUGAUAGGUGAAGAUGUCUGGAAUGAUACUUCGCCCAAAGCCCCGGCGCCCGAGGAUGAGCCUGCGGCCGAUUAGGUAGUUGGCGGUGUAACGGACCACCAAGCCGAUGAUCGGUACGGGUGUUGAGAGACAUAGCCCGGAGAUGGGGGCUGAGACACGGCCCCAGGCCCUACGGGGCGCAGCAGGCGCGAAAACUACGCAAUGCGCGAAAGCGUGACGUGGNNAACUCCAAGUGCCCUGCCUCCUCAGGCUUAACCUGAGGAAUUCCGAAGAUACUGCCAGACUAGGAGUUGAGAGAAGUCAGAGGUACCUCCGGGGUAGGGGUGAAAUCCUAUAAUCCUGGGGGGACCACCAGUGGCGAAGGCGUCUGACUAGAGCAAGCUCGACGGUGAGGGACGAAAGCCGGGGGCGCGAACGGGAUUAGAUACCCCGGUAGUCCUGGCCGUAAACGCUGCGCGCUAGGUGUUACGUCCUCUACGGGGGGGCGUAGUGCCGAAGAGAAGUUGAUAAGCGUGCCGCCUGGGAAGUAUUACCGCAAGGUAGAAACUUAAAGGAAUUGGCGGGGGAGCACCACAAGGGGUGGAGUCUGCGGUUCAAUUGGAUUCAACGCCGGGAAACUCACCGGGAGCGACGGCAGAAUGAUAGCCAAGCUGACGACUUUGCUUGACGAGCCGAGAGGAGGUGCAUGGCCGUCGUCAGCUCGUACUGUGAAGCGUCCUGUUAAGUCAGGCAACGAGCGAGACCCGUGCCCUUAGUUGCUAAUUUCUCCCAUCGGGAGAAGUGCACUCUAGGGGGACCGCCAGUGAUAAACUGGAGGAAGGUGCGGGCGACUAUAGGUCAGUAUGCCCCGAAUCUCCCGGGCUACACGCGGACUACAAUGGAUGGUACAACGGGCUUCNACUCCGAGAGGAGANGAAA